UCUUCCGUUACAGAAAUCUCUAUCGUCACCUUUUGAUUCUUCAUCUUCACACAAGAAAUGACUUCUAAUGAUACUGAACCCUGAAUUUCCUUCUCCUCUUCCUCUUAUUCAAUAUUUUUGGGCGUUAGAUAAAAACGCUCAUCUGAACUUUAAAUAUCGGAUCCCUUAUAUAUGAUGCCUCAUCGAAAUCAAAAUCGAUUCCAGUUGAGCAUGUAGGUUUCUUUUUCAUACCUUUCUUAAUCGAAGUGAGACUCUUGGGUUCCAGUAUCAUUUACCUGAUUCAUUCUUCAUAGGAGACGGAAAUGGAUCUGAAACAAUUAGAAUUGAAUUCACGUCUCUGUUCCACUCCAAUUUGGGGUUUAAAGACAGAAGAAUUAUAUCUGAUUUGCGAUGAAAAUGUAAGAUUUUGGAAUGCGUAUUUCCCUAACUAUCGCAAAUCGACACAGAAAAGGCGUAAUCUCUUUCUUUACUCUCAAUCUCUUUUUGGGCUUCGUCUUUUGCAUCUUUCUCAUAGUGGUGCAGUUGUUGAUUUGGAUGGUUCUUAAAAACCAUCAGGAACCUGCGACGUUUUGGAGCAAUAGGUGCAAUUUAAAGCUAAUGUGUUCUCAAUAUGUAAUCACUUCAACAAUUCGACACCAAAAUCACCAGGCCAUUCAGGUGAGAUUGGAUCAGUAAGAGACCCAGACUAUAGUUUCAAAGAUUAUGCUUAUGGGUAUGCAUUUGUUAGCUCAUGGGUAUGUAUUCUAUUGACUAGGUCAUCAAUUCCUUUUUGCCUUGCAGGUUCCUGCUUAGCUUUGGAGUUAAAGAUAAUACCAUCGCCGCAAUAGUGAGGUCCAGAAUUGGUCUAGCACACAACAUCUAAGCUCAUAGGUAGGUCAGAGGUAAAUCUGCCCUGAUCUCCUCCACCUUUUUUUUUGGAUUUUCAUCAACCAGUGUAAAGAUACCUAGCUUCGACACUCCACAAUUUCGAAGAUUAAUUUAAAAGAGGCGGGGAUGUCUGGAUUUUCACAAAUCAUGCUUCAUGUUGUUGAUUUCCAAAUUACUCCCAAUUCCUGAGACAUGAAACAGAAAUUUGCAAGCAACUACCCUGUCACCCGCAUUGACCUAUGUACUCUUCCUGUGCCUCCAGCAUCACACCAAAUCCUUUUGAACCAUUGAAAGAAAGGAAACUCGGACACUGAUGAAGGGCAUGCAACCAAGAAUGCUCGCCGUGACGAAGUGGUCCAACUUGAUGGAAAUCAAGCCAAAUAAUGAGUUCUAGCUUUCCACUUGAUUAUUAGAUCAAUUAACACAUUCUGGGUAUUUAUUUAAUAUUAUCCAUUCUGUUUUAGGUUUACUUUGUUUACUCAUCAUGUUUAUUACCCCAUCCAUUGUGUGCCGGUUCAGAUGACAGUUAUGUUGUGUUAUCAUGUUCUGUUCUGCAACUGUUGGCCAUAUGUUUUUAAUGUUUUUGAAUGACAAUUAUGAACCA